rnacentral:rRNA from 1 species
UACGGGGGGGGCAAGCGUUGUUCGGAAUUACUGGGCGUAAAGGGCGCGUAGGCGGCCUGCUAAGUCGGAUGUGAAAUCCCUCGGCUCAACCGGGGAACUGCAUCCGAUACUGGUGGGCUUGAAUCCGGGAGAGGGAUGCAGAAUUCCAGGUGUAGCGGUGAAAUGCGUAGAUAUCUGGAGGAAUACCGGUGGCGAAGGCGGCAUCCUGGACCGGCAUUGACGCUGAGGAGCGAAAGCUAGGGGAGCAAACGGG